UACGAAGGGGGCUAGCGUUGCUCGGAAUUACUGGGCGUAAAGGGAGCGUAGGCGGACAUUUAAGUCAGAGGUGAAAUCCCGGAGCUCAACUCCGGAACUGCCUUUGAUACUGGGUGUCUUGAGUGUGAGAGAGGUAUGUGAACUCCGAGUGUAGAGGUGAAAUUCGUAGAUAUUCGGAAGAACACCAGUGGCGAAGGCGACAUACUGGCUCAUUACUGACGCUGAGGCUCGAAAGCGUGGGGAGCAAACAGG
rnacentral:rRNA from 1 species